UGGUCUCAGUGGUUGUGAUUGAAGAUGUGAAGCUGGGAGUACUGUGUGAGGUGAUCUGAGUGGUGGGGAUUGAAGGGGUGAAGCUGAGAGUACUGUGUGAGGUGGUCUUGGUGGUGGGGAUGGAAGAGGUGAAGCUGGGAGUACUGUGUAAGGUGGUCUCAGUGGUGGGGACUGAAGAAGUGAAGCUGGGAGUACUGUGUGAGGUGGUCUCAGUGGUGGCGAUUGAAGAGGUGAAGCUGGAAGUAAUGUCUGAGGUGGUCUCAGAAGUGAAGAUUGAAGAGGUGAAACUGGGAGUACUGUGUGAGGUGGACUUGGUGGUGAAGAUUGAAGAGGUGUAGAUGGGGGUAUUGUGUGAGGUGGUCUUGGUGGUGGGGAUUGAAGAGGUGAAGCUGGGAGUACUGCGUGAGGUGGUCUCAGUGGUGGGGAUUGAAGAUGUGAAGCUGGGGGUACUGUGUGAGGUGGUCUCUGUGGUGGGGAUUGAAGAGGUGAAGCUGGGAGUGCUGUGUGAGGUGGUCUCUGUGGUGAAUAUUGAAGAGGUGAAAUUGGGAGUACUGGGUGAGGUGAUUUUGGUC